UUUUUUUUUUUUUUUUUUUUGUGUCCGAGCGCUUGGUUAUGUUUAUGAUUUUGUUUUCUUUCUUGGUGGUUCUUGUGAUUAGAGUGUGGCCUUGGUGUGGUGAGGUCUGUAUUCUGUUGUUUUUGUAUGUAUAUACUAUUAUCUUUUUUGACAAAUUUGAGAAUGUAGACUUAUGGUUGUUUAUACUUGUUUCUGUUGUGAGUUGUGUACCGCAUCUCUUUAUUGGUUUAUGAGUUCAUGUUCCUAUCAUAUUCUUUGGUAUUAUUGUUAUUAUUAUAUUGGAGGAACUUUGUAACUUGAUCUUAUACGGUGGUUAUUGUUAUGGAAAUUUGUCGAUCCUGCUUUCAUUGGUGGAGUAACUGAUUUCCCUGUUUAUCUUGGGGAAAACAUGCAGUAAAUUGUGGUUUUCUUGACUGCUGGAAAUUUUCUUUAGCCUGCACCAGCUCAUGGAAAAAUGUAUUGAUUGCAAAUUUUUGCUAAAAAAAUGUAUACUUUGGGUGUUGGAAAUGAUCUUAAACCAGGACGUACAGUAGCAUUUUUGUCUCUUGCACAUCUACCGCAUAUUUGAAUUUAUAGCUUUUGGUUGUCACUGACACGGAAUGCAUAUCAUAAUUCAGGUCUGAGCAUCUGGUUGUUAGGCUUCUCUGGUCAGCCAAGUUUCAUGUCUGAGCUCGAAACCCAGAUUCCUUCUACCUUUGGUAAGCUAGUUGCAUGAACCAGGGGGCGUUUACAAAUCUGAUUUUUCUGGCUCCACUGAACUCAUGACUUCAUAUGCUCUCAUGUAUAGAAGCAUGAAAAUCUAACAAUAUAUUGUGUUCUGGUAGAUCCGUUUGCUGAUGCAAAUGCUGAAGACUCAGGUGCUGGUGCAAAAGAGUAUGUGCAUAUUCGUAUACAACAACGGAAUGGUAGAAAGAGCUUGACUACUGUGCAGGGAUUGAAGAAGGAAUUCAGCUACAAUAAGAUACUCAAGGAUCUCAAGAAGGAAUUCUGCUGCAAUGGUACAGUGGUGCAAGACCCUGAAUUAGGGCAGGUUAUUCAGCUUCAAGGUGAUCAGCGGAAGAAUGUGUCUACAUUCCUUGUUCAGGCUGGCAUUGUGAAAAAGGAAAAAAUAAAAAUUCAUGGUUUCUAAUCUGCAUCAACUCCCUGCAUCGUGCAGUUCCCUUGUAUGUGAGCUCAACGUCUGUUUGAACUCAGCAUGUGUUAAAGCUGUUAAAUCUAAGUCUUGUUGGUUUGAUAUGUCACCUGCAUAAUUCUGCUUCUGUUGUUCCGUUUUUUUUUUUUUUUU
rnacentral:misc_RNA from 1 species